rnacentral:rRNA from 1 species
GUUAAUGGGCGUCGAGCGGCGGACGGGUGAGUAAUGCCUAGGAAAUUGCCUUGAUGUGGGGGAUAACCAUUGGAAACGAUGGCUAAUACCGCAUAAUGCCUACGGGCCAAAGAGGGGGACCUUCGGGCCUCUCGCGUCAAGAUAUGCCUAGGUGGGAUUAGCUAGUUGGUGAGGUAAUGGCUCACCAAGGCGACGAUCCCUAGCUGGUCUGAGAGGAUGAUCAGCCACACUGGAACUGAGACACGGUCCAGACUCCUACGGGAGGCAGCAGUGGGGAAUAUUGCACAAUGGGCGAAAGCCUGAUGCAGCCAUGCCGCGUGUAUGAAGAAGGCCUUCGGGUUGUAAAGUACUUUCAGUUGUGAGGAAGGGGGURNNGUUAAUAGCRNUAUCUCUUGACGUUAGCAACAGAAGAAGCACCGGCUAACUCCGUGCCAGCAGCCGCGGUAAUACGGAGGGUGCGAGCGUUAAUCGGAAUUACUGGGCGUAAAGCGCAUGCAGGUGGUUCAUUAAGUCAGAUGUGAAAGCCCGGGGCUCAACCUCGGAACUGCAUUUGAAACUGGUGAACUAGAGUACUGUAGAGGGGGGUAGAAUUUCAGGUGUAGCGGUGAAAUGCGUAGAGAUCUGAAGGAAUACCAGUGGC